rnacentral:rRNA from 1 species
GCACAUGCUGUGAGCUCGAUGAGUAGGGCGGGACACGUGGUAUCCUGUCUGAAUAUGGGGGGACCAUCCUCCAAGGCUAAAUACUCCUGACUGACCGAUAGUGAACCAGUACCGUGAGGGAAAGGCGAAAAGAACCCCGGCGAGGGGAGUGAAAAAGAACCUGAAACCGUGUACGUACAAGCAGUGGGAGCACAGAGCAAUCUGUGUGACUGCGUACCUUUUGUAUAAUGGGUCAGCGACUUAUAUUCUGUAGCAAGGUUAACCGAAUAGGGGAGCCGAAGGGAAACCGAGUCUUAACUGGGCGUUAAGUUGCAGGGUAUAGACCCGAAACCCGGUGAUCUAGCCAUGGGCAGGUUGAAGGUUGGGUAACACUAACUGGAGGACCGAACCGACUAAUGUUGAAAAAUUAGCGGAUGACUUGUGGCUGGGGGUGAAAGGCCAAUCAAACCGGGAGAUAGCUGGUUCUCCCCGAAAGCUAUUUAGGUAGCGCCUCGUGAAUUCAUCUCCGGGGGUAGAGCACUGUUUCGGCAAGGGGGUCAUCCCGACUUACCAACCCGAUGCAAACUGCGAAUACCGGAGAAUGUUAUCACGGGAGACACACGGCGGGUGCUAACGUCCGUCGUGAAGAGGGAAACAACCCAGACCGCCAGCUAAGGUCCCAAAGUCAUGGUUAAGUGGGAAACGAUGUGGGAAGGCCCAGACAGCCAGGAUGUUGGCUUAGAAGCAGCCAUCAUUUAAAGAAAGCGUAAUAGCUCACUGGUCGAGUCGGCCUGCGCGGAAGAUGUAACGGGGCUAAACCAUG